rnacentral:rRNA from 1 species
GACGUACGCUGGCGGCGUGCUUAACACAUGCAAGUCGAACGGAAAGGCCCUGCUUUUGUGGGGUGCUCGAGUGGCGAACGGGUGAGUAACACGUGAGUAACCUGCCCUUGACUUUGGGAUAACUUCAGGAAACUGGGGCUAAUACCGGAUAGGAGCUCCUGCUGCAUGGUGGGGGUUGGAAAGUUUCGGCGGUUGGGGAUGGACUCGCGGCUUUCAGCUUGUUGGUGGGGUAGUGGCUUACCAAGGCUUUGACGGGUAGCCGGCCUGAGAGGGUGACCGGCCACAUUGGGACUGAGAUACGGCCCAGACUCCUACGGGAGGCAGCAGUGGGGAAUAUUGCACAAUGGGCGGAAGCCUGAUGCAGCAACGCCGCGUGCGGGAUGACGGCCUUCGGGUUGUAAACCGCUUUCGCCUGUGACGAAGCGUGAGUGACGGUAAUGGGUAAAGAAGCACCGGCUAACUACGUG